GGAACGGGAGUGGGAACGGGAGUGGGAGUGGGAACGGGAACGAGAACGAGCUCUCGCGGCUGCGCGGGAUGCAGCUCCUGCCGGGAUACCGGGAGCGCGUGGAGAAGGCGCUCAGCUAGGAGCUGGGAUUGGGAUCUGGGAUUGAGAUCCAGGAGCCAGGAUUGGGAUAUGGGAUUGGGAUUGGGAUCAGGAUCCAGGAGUGGGAUCUGGGAUUGGGAUCAGGAUCCAGGAGCCAAGAUUGGGAUCUGGGAUUAGGAUUGGGAUCCAGGAGCCAGGACUGGGAGCUUGGAUCAGGAUCUGGGAUCUGGGAUUUGGGAUCAGAAUCCAGGAUUGAGAUCAGGAUCCAGGAUUGGGAUUUGGGAUCUGGGACGCAGGAUCUGGGAGCCAGGAUUGGGAUCAGGGUCUGGGAUUGGUAUACAGGAGCCAGGACUGGGAGCUGGGAUUGGGAUUGAGAUCCUGGAUUUGGGAUCAGGGAGCCGGGAUUGGGAUUUGGGAUGUGGAACCCAGGACUGGGACCCAGGACUGGGAUCUGGGACCCAGGACUGGGCUGUGCCGGAUCCGGCCCCGCUGGGGGAGCUUAGGCUGCACCGGGGGAUUUAGGCGGGACCUGGGCUGGGUUCAGGGCUGGCAGAGCCUUGAGCUGCCCUGGGAGAGCUUUGGGCAGGACUGAGCCGAGGUUUAGGCUGGACUGGGACAGGUUUUAGGCUGGAUUUGGGACCUUUAAGAACUGAUGGAGGUUCAAGCCAGGAUUGGACCACGUUUAGGCCCAGGAGAGAUUUCAGGCUGGACUAAGCCCGGCUCAACCUCCUGCUCCACUGGCAGGGAAAUUUUUCCCCUGGAAUUUUUUCCCUGGAAUAUUUUCCCUGGGAUGUUUUCCCUGGGAUUUUUCCUCUGGAAUGUUUUCCUUGGAAUGUUUUCCCCGAGAUGUUUUCCCUGGGAUGUUUUUUAUGGAAUGUCUUUUCCACUGGAAUGUUUUUUAUGGAAUGUUUUUCUCCCAUGGAAUGUUUUCCCUGGGAUGUUUUCCCUCUGUUUCUGCCUCUUGUGCCUUCAUUAAAACCGAGUUUAAACUCCA